UGUAUAGCCUUGUCUCGGAUGAGACUUUA
rnacentral:piRNA from 1 species